GGUUAAGCGACUAAGCGUACACGGUGGAUGCCCUGGCAGUCAGAGGCGAUGAAGGGCGUGCUAAUCUGCGAUAAGCGCCGGUAAGGUGAUAUGAACCGUUAUAACCGGCGAUACCCGAAUGGGGAAACCCAGUGUGACUCGUCACACUAUCAUUAACUGAAUCCAUAGGUUAAUGAGGCGAACCGGGGGAACUGAAACAUCUAAGUACCCCGAGGAAAAGAAAUCAACCGAGAUUCCCCCAGUAGCGGCGAGCGAACGGGGAGGAGCCCAGAGCCUGAAUCAGCAUGUGUGUUAGUGGAAGCGUCUGGAAAGGCGCGCGAUACAGGGUGACAGCCCCGUACACAAAAGCGCAUGUGCUGUGAGCUCGAUGAGUAGGGCGGGACACGUGGUAUCCUGUCUGAAUAUGGGGGGACCAUCCUCCAAGGCUAAAUACUCCUGACUGACCGAUAGUGAACCAGUACCGUGAGGGAAAGGCGAAAAGAACCCCGGCGAGGGGAGUGAAAAAGAACCUGAAACCGUGUACGUACAAGC
rnacentral:rRNA from 1 species